UUCACUCAAUAGGCAAUAAAUUCAUUAACAUAUCAUUGGUAUAUGAUUUCCAAAUUCUGUAAACAGAAAUGCCAACUGCAGCGAGAAGGGACAGUGAGUUUUCAUAUGACCUGAGAGCUCCGUGGAUCCAAUAUAUGAUUGCAAGGAUAACUGCUACAUUUUGUUCUGUUUCGUCUUUAAUGCAGGGGAGUUGAACUAUGUUCUGAAAUACCUAGAGGCAUUUGACUUGGAAAUCAUGCUUUCAGCUGGCAACACAACAGCAACUGCCAAGGUUGAGAUUCUUUACAAUUGAAUUGAGGAUCACACCUCUUUCAGAGGAGAUGGAUUGUGUUCUUGAUAGUAACCACUGGCCAAAAGUUGAGGGGACCUUUACUAACAGGAAAUUUCCAAGAAAAUUUUCAAUUUUGAAAAUAGAAAACAGGAAAUGUGUUUACUAUGCUAUGUUUUAAUUUUCAAAGUUGAGAACAAUUCUCUAUUUUAGAGGAAAUCAGAGACACGUUCAAAACUUGUUUUCAGAUUAGGAAAUCGCCGCGUGAACAGUAAAACGCUAGCAUCGAUUCCUGGCCGCAGCAUCUUUCUUCCUCAUUUUUCUUCUCACUUUUUUCUGCACCUUCUUCUUCUCUUUCACAACCCUCACCGUUCUUCACUUUCUUCUUUCUUCCUCAUUCUUCACUUUCUUCUUCCUGGGUUCGCCGGUGCUGCCUCGCCGCUGGUCUCUUUGCUUUGCUAGUCCGAACGAGGGGGAGAGAGAGAUGCGAAGGAGAGUGGAACUUUCUUCUUCCUGGGUUCGCCGGUGCUGCCUCGCCGCCGGUCUCCUUGCUCUGCUAGUCCAAAGGAGGGGGAGAGAGAGAUGCGAGAGAGAUGCGAAGGAACGUGAACUUUCUUCUUCCUGGGUUCGCAGGUGCUGCCUCACUGCCGGUCUACUUGCUCUGCUAGUCCGAACGAGGAUGAGAGAUGCGAAGGAGAUUGAGAGAGAGGGCGUGAAGGAGGGUAAGAAAAUGCAGACAUUGCUGACUUCUAUUACUCUCUUAUUCCCACCAGUUCAUGCCUUAAAGGCCCUGAUCUAAUUGUCAUUGAAACUUGGGAUUGAAUUUCUGCUUAAAUUUAUGACCUGAGUCUAGAUCUUUGUUGUUUGGAUGGUUGGGUUAUUUGUUUGCUGUUUGAUCAAUGCAACUCAAAUCUAAUGUGGGUA